UGAUAUUCUUCUACAAAAUGCCAUACAUAGG
rnacentral:piRNA from 1 species